rnacentral:rRNA from 1 species
UGGGGAAUAUUGCACAAUGGGCGCAAGCCUGAUGCAGCCAUGCCGCGUGUAUGAAGAAGGCCUUCGGGUUGUAAAGUACUUUCAGUCGGGAGGAAGGUGUCAAGGUUAAUAACCUUGGCAAUUGACGUUACCGACAGAAGAAGCACCGGCUAACUCCGUGCCAGCAGCCGCGGUAAUACGGAGGGUGCAAGCGUUAAUCGGAAUUACUGGGCGUAAAGCGCACGCAGGCGGUUUGUUAAGUCAGAUGUGAAAUCCCCGGGCUCAACCUGGGAACUCCAUCUGAUACUGGCAAGCUUGAGUCUCGUAGAGGGGGGUAGAAUUCCAGGUGUAGCGGUGAAAUGCGUAGAGAUCUGGAGGAAUACCGGUGGCGAAGGCGGCCCCCUGGACGAAGACUGACGCUCAGGUGCGAAAGCGUGGGGAGCAAACAGG